rnacentral:misc_RNA from 1 species
UACCAGUUGAUAUGUUUCGUAUGGCUAUGCAAUCUGUAUUCUCACGUUGCAUUAGCAGCAAAGUAUUACAAAACAAGAUUUCAUAGCCAUACGAAACAUAUCAACUGGUAUGAUAAGAUUUUAGAUUUAAACAGCUAAACAUGAAUUCCCAGUUAAAAUUGGUAGCACAUUAAGAUGUUGAUUCCGCUAUUCAAAUUUCUUGAUCAAUGACAGG